ACUCCUACGGGAGGCAGCAGUGGGGAAUAUUGCACAAUGGGCGCAAGCCUGAUGCAGCCAUGCCGCGUGUAUGAAGAAGGCCUUGGGUUGUAAAGUACUUUCAGCAGUGAGGAAGGUGGGGUAUGUUAAUAGCAUACUCAUUUGUACGUUAGCUGCAGAAGAAGCACCGGCUAACUCCGUGCCAGCAGCCGCGGUAAGUACGGAGGGUGCGAGCGUUAAUCGGAAUUACUGGGCGUAAAGCGCAUGCAGGUGGUUUGUUAAGUCAGAUGUGAAAGCCCGGGGCUCAACCUCGGAAUUGCAUUUGAAACUGGCAAACUAGAGUACUGUAGAGGGGGUAGAAUUUCAGGUGUAGCGGUGAAAUGCGUAGAGAUCUGAAGGAAUACCGGUGGCGAAGGCGGCCCCUGGACAGAUACUGACACUCAGAUGCGAAAGCGUGGGAGC
rnacentral:rRNA from 1 species